rnacentral:ribozyme from 14 species
GUACAUCUUGUCAAUGUACCCAAGCGAUUUCUUUGUGGAAAAACAAAAAGAAAAAGAAAGAAAAAACAAGGCUAGAAGAACUCACAUUUUGCAUCAAGCUCGCUAUACCAUCGCUCGUUAAAGUUAU